GGGUGAGUAACACGUGAGUAACCUGCCUUAGAGAUGGGGAUAGCCUCUGGAAACGGAGAAUAAUACCCAAUGAAAUAUAACUUUCGCAUGAGAGAUAUAUCAAAGAAUUUCGCUCUAAGAUGGACUUGCGCCUGAUUAGCUAGUUGGUGAGAUAAAAGCCCACCAAGGCAACGAUCAGUAGCCGGCUUGAGAGAGUGUACGGCCACAUUGGGACUGAGA
rnacentral:rRNA from 1 species